UACAGAGGUGGCAAGCGUUGUUCGGAAUUACUGGGCGUAAAGGGCGCGUAGGCGGCCAUCUAAGUCAGACGUGAAAUCCCCCGGCUUAACCUGGGAACUGCGUCUGAUACUGGACGGCUUGAGUAUGGGAGAGGGAUGUAGAAUUCCAGGUGUAGCGGUGAAAUGCGUAGAUAUCAGGAGGAACACCGGUGGCGAAGGCGGGUCUCUGGGCCGAUACUGACGCUGAGGAGCGAAAGCGUGGGGAGCAAACAGG
rnacentral:rRNA from 1 species